CACCAAUCAGCACUCUGUAAAACAGACCAAUCAGUACUCUGUAAAAUGGACCAAUCAGUGCUCUGUAAAAUGGACCAAUCAGCAGGACGUGGGCGGGGCCAAAUAAGGGAAUAAAAGCUGGUCACCUGCGCCAGCUGUGGCAAUCCGCUGGGGUCUGCCUCCACGUGUGGAAUCUUUGUUCUUUUGCUCUUCACAGUAAAGCUUGCUGCUGCUCACCCUUUGGGUCCACACUACUUUUAUGAGCUGUAACACUCACUGCCAAGGUCUGCAGCUUCACUCCUGAAGUCAGCGAGACCACAAACCCCCUGGAAGGAAGAAACUCCGGACACAUCCGAACACCUGAAGGAACAAAUUCCGGACACACCAUAUUUAAGAACUGUAACACUCACUGAGAGGGUCCGCGGCUUCAUUCUUGAAGUCAGCGAGACCAAGAACCCACUGGAAGGAACCAAUUCUGGACACAAAAGGAUAUCAGGAAAAGUGCAGAGUGUGGUACAAAAUGCAGGGGGAAAGGUGAACUGAGGAAGAAGAUCAUUGAGACAUUGACAGGUAUGUUCCAGGUUGAAUGGCUCUCCUUCAAGUGGGCUCCUUCUAUCUUGUGGCUCCAUCUUCUUCGGUA
rnacentral:lncRNA from 10 species